rnacentral:rRNA from 1 species
AUAACAGUUAGAAAUGGCUGCUAAUACCGCAUAAGACCACAGUACUGCAUGGUACAGUGGUAAAAACUCCGGUGGUAUGAGAUGGACCCGCGUCUGAUUAGGUAGUUGGUGAGGUAACGGCCCACCAAGCCGACGAUCAGUAGCCGACCUGAGAGGGUGGCCGGCCACAUUGGGGCUGAGACACGGCCCAGACUCCUACGGGAGGCAGCAGUGGGGAAUAUUGCACAAUGGGCGAAAGCCUGAUGCAGCGACGCCGCGUGAAGGAUGAAGUAUUUCGGUAUGUAAACUUCUAUCAGCAGGGAAGAAAAUGACGGUACCUGACUAAGAAGCCCCGGCUAACUACGUGCCAGCAGCCGCGGUAAUACGUAGGGGGCAAGCGUUAUCCGGAUUUACUGGGUGUAAAGGGAGCGUAGACGGCUGUGCAAGUCUGAAGUGAAAGGCAUGGGCUCAACCUGUGGACUGCUUUGGAAACUGUGCAGCUAGAGUGUCGGAGAGGUAAGUGGAAUUCCUAGUGUAGCGGUGAAAUGCGUAGAUAUUAGGAGGAACACCAGUGGCGAAGGCGGCUUACUGGACGAUGACUGACGUUGAGGCUCGAAAGCGUGGGGAGCAAACAGGAUUAGAUACCCUGGUAGUCCACGCCGU